rnacentral:rRNA from 1 species
UACGGAGGGAGCUAGCGUUGUUCGGAAUUACUGGGCGUAAAGCGCGCGUAGGCGGCCUUGCAAGUUAGAGGUGAAAGCCCGGAGCUCAACUCCGGAACUGCCUUUAAAACUGCAUAGCUUGAAUCCGGGAGAGGUGAGUGGAAUUCCGAGUGUAGAGGUGAAAUUCGUAGAUAUUCGCAAGAACACCAGUGGCGAAAGCGGCUCACUGGCCCGGUACUGACGCUGAGGUGCGAAAGCGUGGGGAGCAAACAGG